AUUGAACGCUGGCGGCAUGCCUUACACAUGCAAGUCGAACGGCAGCACGGGAGCUUGCUCCUGGUGGCGAGUGGCGAACGGGUGAGUAAUACAUCGGAACGUACCCUGAAGUGGGGGAUAACGUAGCGAAAGUUACGCUAAUACCGCAUAUUCUGUGAGCAGGAAAGAGGGGGAUCGCAAGACCUCUUGCUUUAGGAGCGGCCGAUGUCGGAUUAGCUAGUUGGUGAGGUAAAGGCUCACCAAGGCGACGACCCGUAGCGGGUCUGAGAGGAUGAUCCGCCACACUGGGACUGAGACACGGCCCAGACUCCUACGGGAGGCAGCAGUGGGGAAUUUUGGACAAUGGGCGCAAGCCUGAUCCAGCCAUGCCGCGUGAGUGAAGAAGGCCUUCGGGUUGUAAA
rnacentral:rRNA from 1 species